rnacentral:rRNA from 1 species
CCCUUAGAUGUUCGGGGCCGCACGCGCGCUACACUGAAAGGAUCAGCUGGUAAGUUGCUCCUGGCUUGGAAACGUCGGGCAACCCGUUGAACCUCCUUCGUGCUUGGGAUUGGGGCUUGCAAUUAUUCCCCAUGAACGAGGAAUUCCCAGUAGGCGCGAGUCAUCAGCUCGCGUCGAUUACGUCCCUGCCCUUUGUACACACCGCCCGUCGCUCCUACCGAUUGAGUGGUCCGGUGAGGCUUUGGGAUCUGAGCGGAAAGAGCGUUUCGCUGUUUCUGCUCGGAAAACUCAGUCGAACCUUAUCAUUUAGAGGAAGGAGAAGUCGUAACA